GUGGGACUUCCAGGUUGGACUGAGGAAGAGAGGAAGCAGGAGAGAGUUAGGUUUUUUGUUUUUUGGUGGUUUUUUUUUUUGGACGAGAGUAGCCUGAGAACAGGAUGUAGCUACGGGUCUACCAGUUUCAAUGGUGGAUCCUUUUAGGAUUCGCCACCAGAGGAUUUAGACUUAACAAAGCUUACAAGAUUAAGAUUUUAGUUGCUGUGCCCAGUGAUUGAGUUACCUUCAUUUCUGAGCUAAGUUUGUGUUGUGUUUUCCUUCACGCAGCUGCUCGUCUGGAUUCAAGAGAGAAAGGAUGUGGACAAAAAUGUGAUCUCUCACUUCCCGGAGACAGCUGACUGCUGCCAAGCCUCUCCUGCCAUUGUAGAAGCAUCCUCUGGCCCUGUGAGCACAGAUAAUUCUUCCUUUCAGGAGUAGCUUCUGGUCAUGGCAUUCUACCACAGCAGAGAAAGGUCGCUACUACAGCCUCUUCCCCCGUGGACCCCUCUCUCUUCCCAGCCAGUCCUCCUUGCACUUCAGCUGGGAUUCUCUUGUGUCUGUGGCCCAGUGAGUCUCAUCAGGGUUGUUUACAGGCAAAUGGCUGAGGGCAAGUUUGCUCCUUUUUCUCCUCAAGGCUCUAAGAUGUCAUUUCCUUUGGAAGAUCUCUGAUAACAUCUUGAACCAGGUCAUGCAAGGGUAGCUGCUUCCCCUUCCUUGUUAGCACUUAAGUUAUAGGCUAGUUUGAUUGCCUGUGUCUUCCUCUAGCCUAUGGAGUCUGUGAGGGCCAGGACCUCUUUCAGAAUAGCCUGGCCACACGGCAGGAGAUGGGUGGGUAUAUACGGGACAAGUGAUGAUUCAGCCUGGCCAGUCAAGGCAGAGUGGGAACGAGGAUCUGAGGCAGCUGUGACCCUCACCCCUCUGGAAUUUCUGCUACUCAUCUUGUCCAGCCUUGCUUCCUAGGAGCUUCAGAAAUCAGUGUCCCCAUAGGAGAAACAAACCUUCCCACAGGCCCUGCAGCCAGGCCCCUUCCUCUGGCGCUGCUUCCUAGCUGUGAUGGGUAACCUUGGUCAUCAACUUGACUACAUCUAGAGCCAACAAAGCUGAAGCUCACCUGUGAGGGAUUUCUUGAGUGGAUCGUUUGAGAUGGAAAGACGUACCCUAUCUGGAAGGAUACAGAAUGGGGAAGCUGUUUUGUUUUGUUUUGUAUCUUUUCACUCUUGAUGGCAAGUUCAUCUAUCCUGUUGCUUAGACAGUCCUUUGCUGAUAUUAGAACCACACAGACUGAAAAUCAGAACCUCUCUAGGAGUCCUUCAGUAUGGGAUUCUUAGGCUUGGUCUUUCCAUCAGGAGAGAGUCAUUGCUGGGACACCUGGACUAUAGUCCAUAAGUCAUGCUAAUAAACUCCAUCACACACACACACACACACACACACACACACACACACACUCAUCUACUCUGUUCUAGUAGAGAACUCUAACACUCUUGUCACUGCAGUUUCCUUGACUCUCCUCUAGGCAUCGUGGACCAAGGCAUACUUUCAGUUGUCUAGAUCAAGUCUACCCUGGUGGUUAAUAUAGAUUGUUCAUUUGACUCAUUUAGAAUCACCUAGGAGACAAACCUGCCUUUGAAGGAGUUCCCUAUAUCCGUUUAACUGAAGGGGGCUGGCUCACGCUCGUCUCAAUGUCGUGGCUGGGGUCUCACUGAGUAAGGAGACAAAAGCAAUCUGAUCACCAGUGUGCAUUUCUCCCCGAUUUCUUCUGUGGAUGCAAUGUGACUUAUCCAAUGCGACUGUCUGUGUCACACAUCUACCGCCAUGCCUUCUCUGCCAUGAUGGAACCUUCAAAGUCAGAGCAGAAACAAACUCUCCCUCCCUAAGUUGCUUUUGCUAAGUAUAUUGUC
ensembl:lincRNA